AUGUAAUUCCUACAGUUUUAAUGCAUGAGAUCCCAUUAGAAAUAUGAAUUUAAGCAUGCUUGAGCUAUGGUAGUAUUGGGAUGGGUGACCUCUGAAGAAAUCCUAGUGUUUUACAUG
rnacentral:rRNA from 1 species